AUCCCCCUCCCCUCCCUACGGCUCCACUCGCGUGCAAAGGCAUUUGUGUGCUUUCGUGCAUGCAUAUACAGGAGCGCGCGUGCGUGCACGCUGUUCUCUCUUCUCCCUGACGACGCCUGGCACGCACACACAUACAACGGACUCGUGUUUUGGUCUCUUAGCCUAUCACUUCCUUAAACGUUUCCGCAAGUAACAACGACGGGCAUUCAGUCCUCCGCUGCUCGUGUGCCCGACGACUCGUGGGGGUGUACGCCGACCCCCAUCGACGUCAGCGCGGCACGCGACUUAACCAUUUCGUGGCUCUCGCACGCCGAGUCCGUCCUUGUGCUCGAAUGGACAGAGGGUGAGCGGGCGCGACAUGCGCAGCUGCAGCAAAGAAGCCAGCAGCGGAAGGCUCAGCAGCAGCAACAGCAGCCGGCGACGACGGCGGAUGAGCUGUUGGCAGAGGCCGCUGCCACCAGGCUGCGUUGCGCUCGCGUCGCCUCCUCGUCCUCCGAGGAUGAUUCAGAUGACGAGCGUCGUGCACAGGGACUGGUUCCCCUCCACUGCGAUCACGCACCCUUUCCCUUCCAUCGAAGCAGCGGUGUGGUCUUCGCGCUGCCGCCGAGUAGCGUCGAUGAUGGUGGCGCCGCUACUAUGAACGCGGCAUCGCUGCCAGACCGCGGCGAACAGGCGCUGAGCGUGAUGGACAGUGUUCCUGUGGGAUUCGACUACUAUGCGGCUUUGCAGAAGGCCUGGUCUCGCACUCCGGAGCGGCCGCCAAGUCUGCCGCCGCUCGCCACGGCGUCGGAGGUGAACCUCAGCGACAUCGACGAAAUGCUCUCUGGCGACUCCGACUACGAGGAGCUACGCCCGCCGGUGCCCCUGGGACUCAUGAUUAGCUACUUCACUGUGGACUGGCGUGAUAGCGGGCUGUACGAUGUUGUACAGCGACGAGAGGAGUCGCUUUCGCAGAUAUCCCAGAAGAAGAAACCUUAGAGACGAAUGAGGGUGCUCGGGGACAGCCGUGUGUGUGUAUAUAUAGGGAGGGGGGAGGGAGAGGGAGACGGUGGAGGGUAGAGGCAAACGUAGGCGAAGAAUGUGGACGGGGAGAGGAAGUGGGAGACAUGAGCGCAUAUCUCUGCGUGUCUGUGCGUGACCGUACCCGGACUUGUUUCAAUUCGUAUUGCUUCAAGUGCAAGUGUAACCCUUGUCCCGUGCUGACCCUCUGCUCUUCGCCCCCUCCUUCCCCCCUCCGUCUCCGUCUCCCCGGUUUGUGCGUGUGUGUGUGCGGCACUGCCUGCGUUAUCGCAGUGUGGGUAUGUGCGCGCGUGCUCAUGCUUUUACGCGCACUGGCAGCCCUCGCUCUCGUGUUUAUGUUGUUAUCUAUUUCCCGUGCUGAAUACAUGUGAUGGUGACGCUCGACGACGGUGAUGACGGUGGAUUUGUUUUCUUUCUGUUUUUUUUUUGUUGUUGUUGUUUUCGUGUUGUUGCUUUGCUGCAAGGGUAUGGAUAGCGCGGACCCUCCACACUCCCUCCACACCUCCUUCCCUCCUUCCUCUUCGCCCUGCCGCUCUUCUCAUUCCUUUUCUGCUUUGUGAUCCCCUUUUCAAAUAUUUUUCGUCCCCCUUCUCCCUCCCUUUCCCUCCCGUAACUCCCAUCACCCACCCCGCCCCGCAAAGGCCGAUGCGCGCACGUGUCUAACGCCACUUCCACGCCUUUCUCUCUGUGCCUAUGCGUGCGUGACAGCAACGCUGGUGGCAUUAUAGCUAUUAGUAUUAUGACAUAUCUGUGUGUGUGCGUGCGCUUGUGCUUGCCAUUCCGUCCUCUGUGCCGCCGCCGCCGUUGACCCCCUCUCUUCCUUCUCACCUUCAUCCUAUCCCUCCUCUCUGACUCGCGCGUGAAUGUCAAGAGGGAUGGAGGAGCUGUGUGUGUGUGGGGGGGCACUGUGGCGCGCAGCAGCACAACCGCAAUAUAAAAGGAGAGAGAAGCUGAGCGCGAAAAGAAAAACGGAAAGCGGGACGCAGGUGGCGGAGGAGGAGGGAAGGGGGCGCAUGCAAGCUUUUAUCUCCUGCAUUCCACUGCAGCGGCAGCGAGCAGGGUGUGUGAGACGACAGCGACGAAGAGAGGGAUGAUCGGCAGCAGCGAGUGUACGAGCGGGUGUAUAUACAAAAAGGGCGUUUUGCUGUGGCGCCUAUACGCUUGACGAAGGCGGGAGGGGGAAGAUGGACGAGCGGGGAGAGAAGGGGCCGGCGGGCGGGGGAAGGGGGAGGGAUGGACUGCCAGCUGGGGUGCAUGUAUGAGCCCUCUUUUUUUUACCCGUCCCAGCGGCCUGCCGCAAGGGACACACACACACACACACACACACACACACACACACACACACACACGAGCAACAAGAGUAAGCGGGUGCGCACCCUUCGUUGUUCCUCUUCCCCCCCCUCGACACGCACGCACACGUUCUAUACCCUUUUAUGGUUCACUGUUGGUCGCGGCUGUGUGUGUGUUUGUGUGUGUGCGCAGUAUGCGCUGUUGAUCUUCCAUAAUGAGUCUACGCCUGCAUCAUUGAUGCAAGCCCGUUGGAACACACUUAUAAGAACUCCAAAAAGACUCAACAGGCGAAGGGAGAGAGCACCACAGGGGAGUAGGUCCGCUCUGUUAGGCAGGAGAUGCCCUGUACAUGUGCUCGUGUAUGUGUGUGUGCACCUCUCUUUCUCUCCUUUCCUCCCUCUGAGCUGCGUUCGUGGCUGACAAGCCCGACUGUCUUUCUCCCUCAGUUGACAAGAGCAGGGGGUGAAGUGGGGUGGAGAAGGACCGUGAGGAGUGCAGUAGGGAGAGACUGUUGAGAGGGGAGGUGCGUGUCUGUAAGGCACGGGGCACGCCUGCACAGAGGUGGCAAGACCGCACAGAUAGCAACAGCGGUAGCACAAACAAGAGAGGGGCACCCUGGUCCAUCUUUCGAUGUUUUACAAGUCUUUGAGCGCGCGGGUGGCGAGGCUCACACGCCCCUGCUUCCCCUCAUCAUGCGCUGUCGAUGGCCCCGCCGUCCUGUGGAGUCUUCACAAACGUGUUGGCGCGCAUCACGUCGGAUCCUGCGACCAGGUCCUCUAAUGCACACUCGCCAUUCUCCGCCCAUUCCAACCUCCCGUGUAUCCGCAUACCUCUCCUUGUCUACGUGUUGUGGUGGUGGUUGCCGCCACUCGUUUCUAAAUGGCGUUCCUGUCAUGUUCGCUCUUGCUGGCUGCACCGCGCCCAUUCUCUUUCUCAAUCUUUACGCCCGUCUUUCCAAUCCACACAUCAUGGAUGAUGCAUACUGUGCAUAUAUGUAUUGCACAUUGUAUGCACCCACACACUCUCUCACGCACACACCUGCCCGCGCAG
rnacentral:misc_RNA from 1 species